GACGUAGGUGGCGAACGUUAUCCGGAAUUAUUGGGCGUAAAGGGUGCGUAGGUGGCCUGACAAGUUAUCAGUGGCAAAUCGAGGCUCAACCUCGUGGAAACUGGUAAUACUGUCCGGCUUGAGUGCAGGAGAGGUUAACGGAACUCUAUGUGGAGGGUAAAAUCCAUAGAUAUAUAGAAUGAACAUCAAUAAAGGCGAAGGCAGUUAACUAUUCUGUACUGACACUGAGGCACGAAGCGUGGGGAGCAAACGG
rnacentral:rRNA from 1 species